AAAUAAGAUUUGGCCUAGGUUCGGAUUUACCUACCGUAUGGUUGGGUAAAGCCUUACCCAAGGCGAACCUCUCUAACGGGUUUGAAGAGGAUAUCCCCCCACCACUGGGGAUUGGACCCCGGCCCAGAAUUCCUACGGGGAGCACAGUUGGGAAUUUUGGACAAUGGGGGGAACCUGAUCCAGCCCAUGCCGCGUGUGUGAAGAAGGCCUUGUGGUUGUAAAGCCCUUUAAGCGAGGAGGAGCUCCUGUAGUUAAUACCUCCGGAUAUUGGACGUUACUGCAGAAUAAGCACCGGCUAACUCUGUGCCAGCACCGCGGUAAUACAGAGGGUGCGAGCGUUAAUUCGGAUUUACUGGGCGUAAAGCGUGCGUAGGCGGCUUUUUAAGUCGGAUGUGAAAUCCCCGAGCUUAACUUGGGAAUUGCAUUCGAUACUGGGAAGCUAGAGUAUGGGAGAGGAUGGUAGAAUUCCAGGUGUAGCGGUGAAAUGCGUAGAGAUCUGGAGGAAUACCGAUGGCGAAGGCAGCCAUCUGGCCUAACACUGACCCUGAGGUACGAAAGCAUGGGGAGCAAACAGGAUUAGAUACCCUGGUAGUCCAUGCCGUAAACGAUGUCUACUAGCCGUUGGGGCCUUUGAGGCUUUAGUGGCGCGCUAACGCGAUAAUUAGACCCGCCUGGGGAGUACGGUCGCAAGACUAAACCUCAAAUGACUUGACGGGGGCCCCUAA
rnacentral:rRNA from 1 species